rnacentral:rRNA from 1 species
UGGGGAAUAUUGGACAAUGGGCGAAAGCCUGAUCCAGCAAUGCCGCGUGUGUGAAGAAGGCCUUCGGGUUGUAAAGCACUUUAGGCCGGGAAGAAAAAGCUUCACCUAAUACGUGGAGCCUUGACGGUACCGGCGGAAUAAGCACCGGCUAACUCUGUGCCAGCAGCCGCGGUAAUACAGAGGGUGCUAGCGUUAAUCGGAUUUACUGGGCGUAAAGCGUGUGUAGGCGGUUUGUUAAGUCGGGUGUGAAAUCCCUGGGCUCAACCUGGGAAUUGCAUUCGAUACUGGCAAGCUAGAGUACGGUAGAGGGCGGCGGAAUUCCGGGUGUAGCGGUGAAAUGCGUAGAUAUCCGGAGGAACACCGAUGGCGAAGGCAACCGCCUGGGCCUGUACUGACGCUGAGACACGAAAGCGUGGGGAGCAAAC